rnacentral:rRNA from 1 species
AACGAACGCUGGCGGCGCGUCUUAAGCAUGCAAGUCGAACGGCAAGAUACUUUCGGGUAUCCUAGAGUGGCGGACUGGUGAGUAACGCGUGGAUGACGUACCCUCGUGACGGGGAUAGCCGGUAGAAAUACCGGGUAAUACCGGAUAAGGUCUCACGGAAUAAAGGCGUGAGAGGAAAGCAGCGUAUGCUGCGCAGGAGGAACGGUCUGCGGCCUAUCAGCUGGUUGGCAGGGUAAAGGCCUACCAAGGCGACGACGGGUAUCCGGCCUGAGAGGGUGAACGGACACAUUGGGACUGAGAUACGGCCCAGACUCCUACGGGAGGCAGCAGCUAAGAAUAUUCCGCAAUGGGGGGAAUCCUGACGGAGCGACGCCGCGUGGACGAUGAAGGUCGGAAGAUUGUAAAGUCCUUUUAUACAUGAAGAAGAAGUUAUACAGGAAAUGGUAUGAUGGUGACGGUAGUGUAUGAAUAAGCACCGGCUAAUUAC